UACGGGGGGAGCAAGCGUUGUUCGGAUUUACUGGGCGUAAAGGGCGCGUAGGCGGCCACCGCAAGUCGACUGUGAAAUCUCCGGGCUUAACCCGGAAAGGUCAGCCGAUACUGCGGGGCUAGAGUGCAGAAGGGGCAACUGGAAUUCUCGGUGUAGCGGUGAAAUGCGUAGAUAUCUGGAGGAACACCGGUGGCGAAGGCGGCAUCCUGGACCGACACUGACGCUGAGGAGCGAAAGCCAGGGGAGCAAACGGG
rnacentral:rRNA from 1 species